GACAGGGCAGCACUGUGAUGGAGUUUCUGUAGCGUGGUGGUUCCACAUUUGCCUAAUCUGCAAAGGGCCUCAGCCCGAAAACCAGGCAGAAACGUAGUGGCUUCCUUUUCCCAGCUCCCCUUGCUGUCCAGCAAGGUGCUCCUCCUUCAGCCACUGGCCUGUCCCUUGCAUAACCCCAACCCCCGCAUGAUAGAGGGUGGUGACACCAGUGGACAAAAUACCUUGGCCAGGGCUGGAACCA